UUGAAGUCGAUGGAGAAUGGGUUAAUAUUCCCAUACCUGUAUAAUAUUCGAUGGAGUAACGCAGAAGUGACAAGUCCGCGAACUGACGGAAUAGUUCGUUAAAGGGCGUAGGUAUACGACUGGUAGGCAAAUCCGCCGGUUGUGCUGAAACCUGAUAGUACUGCAAAGCUUCGGUGGCGCAGAUAGUGACUGUAAUCAGACUGCCGAGAAAAACUUCUAAGGUUCGUAUUAUACAGCUCGUACCGUAAACCGACACAGGUAGUCGAGAUGAGUAUUCUAAGGCGCUCGGGUGAGCCGUGGAGAAGGAACUAGGCAAAUUAUGGCUGUAACUUCGGAAUAAAGCCAGCCGCAGUAAUGCGGCCUCAGUAAAUUGGUGCAACCAACUGUUUAGCAAAAACACAGGGCCCUGCGAAAUCGAAAGAUGAAGUAUAGAGCCUGAUACCUGCCCGGUGCUGGAAGGUUAAGGAAGUUUGUCAGCCGCAAGGUGAAGCUUACGACUGAAGCCCCAGUAAACGGCGGCCGUAACGAUAACGGUCCUAAGGUAGCGAAAUUCCUUGUCGGGUAAGUUCCGACCUGCACGAAUGGAGUAACGACUUCCCCGCUGUCUCCAGCAUAGACUCAGUGAAAUUGAAUUCCCCGUGAAGAUGCGGGGUUCCCGCGGUUAGACGGAAAGACCCUGUGAACCUUAACUAUAACUUCGCAGUGGCGUUAUCGGUGGUUUGUGUAGGAUAGGCGGGAGGCUUUGAAGCGGGGGCGCCAGCUCUCGUGGAGCCAACCUUGAAAUACCGCCCUAAUCUUCGGUGACGUCUAACCUCGACCCAUUAUCUGGGUCAGGGACCCUGCGUGGCGGGUAGUUUGACUGGGGCGGUCGCCUCCCAAAGAGUAACGGAGGCGCGCGAUGGUAGGCUCAGGACGGUCGGAAAUCGUCCGCUGAGUGCAAUGGCAUAAGCCUGCCUGACUGCGAGACUGACAAGUCGAGCAGAGACGAAAGUCGGCCAUAGUGAUCCGGUGACUCUGUGUGGAAGGGUCAUCGCUCAACGAAUAAAAGGUACUCCGGGGAUAACAGGCUGAUGAUGCCCAAGAGUCCAUAUCGACGGCAUCGUUUGGCACCUCGAUGUCGGCUCAUCUCAUCCUGGGGCUGGAGCAGGUCCCAAGGGUAUGGCUGUUCGCCAUUUAAAGAGGUACGUGAGCUGUGUUCAGAACGUCGUGAGACAGUUUGGUCCC
rnacentral:rRNA from 1 species